rnacentral:snoRNA from 1 species
GCUAAAUUUAGUGCCGCUUUGUCUCUUUCAAGUUUUCUCUAAUGACUAAUGAGUCUUCUUUAAUCUUGGUGGCAGAAAUGU